CUCUUGUCCACAGACGCAGUGCUCUCCACUGUCAAGAACCGUGAGCCUUAUCCCUCUCCCACCUCACUACUCUCCUCUGUCCCUCAUCUCGGCCAGACCACAAAGAGAGCAGUAGCAGCUCCUCCACCCCCGCGCCGACGCUCUCGUCUAGCUCUGGCGCCCAUGCCUCAGCGCGCAGCUCUGCAACCGCUUCCUCUCACCUCCCCGCUGCACUGGCACAACUCUGGCUGCAGCCACUGCAACCGCUUCCUCUCACCUCCCCGCUGCACUGGCACAAGUCUGGCUGCAGCCAGCGCUCGCGCGUCUUCUCCGUGUCCAGCAUCAGCGCAGAGAGCUUCUCUGCUGCUCCUCCUCUCAAGCCAGUGCGCGCAGCGCGGGCUAGAGAUCUUCCCCGAACCCAGGCGCCAUAGCAGAGCUCUUCCGUCUCCACGGAAAGCGGCAGUUACAGUGGGAAACUUUGCCAAAUUUUCUCAGAAGGGUUCACCUUGGUAAGAAUUAAGUGUUAGGUGGUGACAUUUGGGUAUGUGGAUACCUGAGGCGUUACAAUCAGUGGGCGACAAGAAGUUGGAGGACAUAACUGUAGCAAUUUGCAACAUAGAAGUUUAAGAGAGAAAAAGCACUUCAAACUAAGUUUAACUAAAAUUUAUUAUCUAACAUGUAGAAACAAGUUAGGAUGGAUGCACUUGUUUAACUAUAUUCAGUUUAAUAUUAGUGAAACUAUAUGUGAUUUGCAAUUCAGUGUAUAUGUGGGAGAGGAAAUCUUGAAAAGUAAGAAAGGGCGUGUCGUACAACAAGGAUUCAAAUUCUAGGAUGAUCAGCCUAGGAACCUUGUCAUGCCACGCACACUCUUGCUUUCUGAGAUUUACUGUGUCAGCUCUCUCCAUCUCUUCUCUCUUGGACAUUUAGUCCUCUCUCCUCUAAACAUAUAUGUGGUAGAGGAAAUCACUACAACAAAUCUGCCAAUUUAUAUCAAAAAAUAUAUGACAAUGUUGUAAAUCAUCAUUGAUUUAUCACGUUUUUUCUAAAAAGUAUCAUAAGAAUUAAUUUAGGGUUGUAACCCUACAUUUUAGUGAAAAAUAGUGGUACAGACGUCACUAAGGCCAAACAAAAAUCGUCACAAACCGAUACACCAAAGUGUUGUGACGAAACAAUUUUGUCAUAAGAGUUCGGUUAGCACCGGACAAAGUUCUAUUGUCAUAAAAUUCUGGUGUGGAUAAAGCAAGCAUGACCCAUUAGUUAGCCAAGAUCCACAUGUAAGUAUGAAAAUAAAAACAACACAUCCCAAGGUUCGAACCUGGGACUGAUCAGAUGAGGAGGGUCAGCACUACUAUUGAGCUAUGGAGGGAGUUCGAGUCCUUGACAUUUAAAACUUUAUAUAUACGUAAAUCUGUGGCCUACCUGUCAGUUGGAGACCGGAGCAACAAGUCUGUUUUGGGACUUGGCCCGAAGGAUUUGAAAGACCUCUUAGUGAGCUUCAAAUUAGAUGGAAUGCUAGGGCUAGGAAUGACCUCUUAGUGAGCUUCAACUUGGUCUCUCUCAAAUGUCUCAAGGUGACAUCAUUCGCAAGAUCCUGAUGGUGCUCCCUAAGACCAAGUAUAGCAUCAUCGUCUCACUUCUUCAUGAGAAGGAUCUUGAUGAAAUGGAGGUUCAUGAAGCGGUGGGGAGUAUAUUAUGGCAUGUUGGGGAGUAUAUUAUGACCUUGAAGAACUAGGGCAAAAAGUAGAACAAUAAGAGAUUUAUUGUGUGUUGUUUCAAUUGGCCUGCACCCCUUUAGCUAUUUAUGAGGGGCGACAUGGACUUCUCCAUCAAGGAUUGGACUCUAUCAUGUCCUUAAACCGAGUCUCUAGCUAUUUUGUAAAUAACUCGAUCAAAACAUCCCAAACAUGUGGGAUUGUCCAACUCAACAAGCCUCCCACGCAGGGGACACGUUUAUGUGCCAGAAACAAGUCGUAUUCGACCAAGAAUAUGAAAGAGUCCAAAUAGAACACAGAAACCAAACUAGUCCAAAUCAAAAUAUGCACACCAGAUAAAUCGGUGUAAACAAAAUGCUAUCAUUGGACUAUCUAGUGAAUGCAAUCUUUAUAAACCCAAGACUUCAAGGUUUGUUCUCACUAGAUAAAUCGGUGUGAACAAAACUCUAGCACCGGAGUUUUAUUUUUACGUCAUACAGUUACUCAGAAGUGUUUCGGGAUAUCCUUCUUAACACCGGAUGUUCCAAUGAUCGACUGGAGUUUUGCUCUUUGUCUGGUGUCACAAUAUUCUGCUGUAACCCUCUCCUCCAUCUUUUGUACACCGGAUGAUCUGGUGAUGACACCGGAGUAUUCAUCGAACAAAAGUCAAAGAGUAAACUCUAAUUUGAACUCACCGGAUGUACCAGAGCUGGUUUCUUACAUGAACCGGCACUAAUAGUCAGGGUAUCAGUGCCGGUUCGAGCCACAAACCACCACUGAUGCAGACGGACCCAAAAUUUCACUUGAAUGGAAUUUUGGCUCAGCUCGUGUCCAUUCGGCUCUGACUGCUCCACUCCUUUAUCUCUUCGUCUCCUCCCUCUCUCUCUCCACCGUAUAUCUUCCUCUCUCUCCCUCCCUCGCUCCUGCCUCUAAGCUGCUACUCCUUUGCCUCCGAAGAGUAGUAGCCCACACGUCGCUUCGCGCCUAACCGUCCUCCUCUACUGCUAUUGGCAGUAGCUGUAGGAGCAGGGUCGAUGAGCUCCACCUCCUUGAGAAGCCAUCCCUAACUGUCGUGGAGGAUGUCGAGGCCGAGGAGGAGCCCCAGCCUACUCUAGUGCUGUCCACGGAGGAAGCGCUUGCUCGCUUCCUCAAGUGGCGGUAGCGGCUGUGAGGAGAAAUGGAGUGUCUGCCGACGGGAGUGGAGGUCGGGUACUACGAUAGCAGCAGCAGCUCUGGUCACUGGAACUGGUGUUUGAUUUGUUCGACAGGUGUUCACUAGAACAGGUGUUCGACAGCAGCGGCACACCUCAAAUCCUAUCCUCUCCACCUCAUGUAUUCAAUUUGUGUUCGAUUUGUUCGAUCUGUGAAUAGCGUCAGUGUUCUAUAGCCUUACGUUUGAUUUGUUCCAUCUGAUAUGUGAGAUGAGUCAAUUGUGAGGAGAUGAGAUGAGUUGACUUGAUCUGUUCUUGUGAUGAGAUGAGAUAAGUUGAUCUGUUCUUGUGAGUUGAUCUGUUCUUGUGUUGAGAUGAUUGGAUUGUGAGGCGUCUGUACUGUGGCAGAGGCCUUCGUGCUGCCGCAUUUUCUUGUGCAAGGUAGAGCAAGUGAGCACAUGCGAGCAAGUGCGAUGGCGGGUGUGCUACCAACCGGCAACGUGGAGCCAACUUGUUUCUUUUUUUUUUGGGAGGAGCCAUCACUGCUGGUUGGAGCCAUGAACUGGCAGUGAUGCCUACUUUCAGUGUCGGUUCUAGACCUGACACUGAUAGUCAUUGACUAUCAGUGCUGGUUCAAAACUCGACACUGAUAGCAAUUUUGAACUGCCACUGAUUGGGUGUCCUGAUGUAGUGUUGUGACAUUUUUUGUUUCAAUAGUAAUGAUGCAUAACAUCAUAAAAGUAAUGACAAGAAAAUAUCGUCAUAAUUUCUAUGAUGAAAAAGCUUCGUCACUGAAUUUGAUUAGAGAUGCAAGAAAGGUGACGAACAUACAAGCAUAACAAAUUUCAUGCCAUAACAAACAUUUAAUAAUUGGUGACGAAAGAUUAUGGUCACGAAAUAACAGAUUUGUUGUAGUGAAUCUUGAAAAGUAGGAAAGAGCGGGUGGUACAACAAGGUUCCAGAUGCUAGGAUUAUCGCCCUAGGGCUCUGUUGUGUCAACAAUACUCUUGCUUUCCGAGAUUUGCUACAUCAGUUAUCUACAUCUCUUCUCUCUUGGAUGUGUUGUCCUCUCCCCUCUAAACAUAGGUGUGAUAAAGGAAACCUCAGAAGGCAAGAAAGGGCGGUUGCUACAACAUGGUUCCAGAUGCUAAGAUGAUCACCCUAGAACCUUUUUGUGUCAUCCAUCCUCUUGUUUUCUGAGAUUUGCUCCGUCAGUUCUCUCCAUCUCUUCUCUCUUGGAUAUUUUUCCUCUACCCUCUAAACACAUGUGGCAGAGGAAAUCCCAGAAAGCAAGAAAGGGCGUGUGGUACAACAAUGUUUCAGAUGCUAGGAUGAUCACCAUAUGAAACUUUUGGUGCCAUCGAGCGUCUUGUAUUCCGAGAUUUGCUCUGUGAGUUUUCUCCAUCUCUUCUCUCUUGGAUGUUUUGUCCUAACACCUCUAAACAUAUGUGUGGCAAAGGAAAUCUUAAAAAGCAAGAAAGAACGUGUGAUACAACAAGGUUCCAGAUGCCACGAUGAUCACCCUAGGAACCUUGUUGCGCCACCUGGUCUCUUGCUUUGCAAGAUUGGCUCUAUCAGUUCUCUCCAUGUCUUCUCCCUUGGAUGUUUUGUCCUCUCCCCUCUAAACAUAUGUGUGGCAGUGGAUUACAUAUACAUUCACUAGAAUUCAACAAAUACGCACUGUUGCACAUCACAUUGUAAACUUCUAAUUGAAUUUUGUAUUUCAUUCACCUCGAUAUUCCUAUGGAGGACGCCUAAGUGGCAUGGAGGCGUGGAGGGCUGUGUCGGCAUCAAGGGUCGGGUCAGCGUCGUGUGUGUGUAGUGGUGUCAGGGAGAGCAUCGGUCAGGCAUUGAUGUGGCAGCAAAAGUCCAGAACCACUACUACAGAAUAGUACAUCACUGCCAGCUCCAAAACCCCCUUCACUGCUAGUUUUAGAGCCGGAAGUGGGUAACACGCAGUGAUAGUCCUCGACUAUCACUGCCGCUCAGGUGGACUGGCAGUGAAAGGGGUUAUCAAUGCCAGCUAAAACUUCCAGUCAAUUGUGAUGCAUGUGGUAUCACUGUCAGCUGGUGGUUUCGGCUGACAGUGAUGUCCAAAGCAUCACUGCUGGCUAAAGCUUUCAGCUGGCAAUGUUUUUCCUCUCCUCCCUCUUCUCUCUAUCCUCCCUGUCUCUCUCCUCCCUCUGUCUCUCUCCCUCUCAUUAUCUCUAUCUCUCUCCUCUCUAUCCUCCCUUUCUCUCUCUCCUCGAUAUCUCUGUCUCUCUCUCCCUCUCAAUACAUGCAUACAAUAUGACAUAUUUAAUGUAAAUCAAUAAUGAAGACACAUUAUUAAUACAUAGUAAUUAAUAUCAUUCAUUAAUAUGGUAUCAUUUGGCGAUAUAUAAGCAGUCUAACCCCUGGUAGACUUCCUCCUUGCCGCAUACUCUCUACUAGAAGGUACAGUUUCAUCUAGAUGUUUCUCUCAUGUCAACGGCACGAUCAAUUCAUGAAACUCAUCAUUUGGUCUGAUAACAUGUUUCAGGAAGAACUCAGCGAUCUGUUCUUGAAGGGCAUGUAUUUCUGCAUGUUGUAAUACACAUGUGCAUAGUUUGGAGCUCUGCGUUUGAAGAGUAGAAAGAAUUAGUCCUUCAACACGUAUAGAAAUUGACAAGAAGGCAUCGAUAUGUAAUUUCAUACCUCAAAAUCAUUGUAUCUGACAGCGUCUCCGUCUAUGUUGAAUGCGUGCAUGAAAGUAAGAACAUAAAACUCA